rnacentral:rRNA from 1 species
GACGAACGCUGGCGGUGUGCUUAACACAUGCAAGUCGAGCGGUAAGGCCCUUUCGGGGGUACGACGAGCGGCGAACGGGUGAGUAACACGUGGGUGACCUGCCCUCAGCUCUGGGAUAAGCCUGGGAAACUGGGUCUAAUACCGGAUAUGACCUGCUGCUUCAUGGUGGUGGGUGGAAAGUUUUUCGGCNGGGGAGUGGCCCGCGGCUAUCAGCUUGUUGGUGGGGUGAUGGCCUACCAAGGCGACGACGGGUAG